rnacentral:sRNA from 1 species
AUUGAAAUACGAAUCCCAGAAAUCUAAAUCCAGCAGCGUGGCUGUCGGAAACGACUUUGGCUUUCCCUCUCCUGUCCCAGGAACUGGCGACGCCAACCCCGCUGUGUCUGAAGAUGCCUUAUUCAGGGACAAGCUGAAACACAUGGGAAAGUCCACCCGGAGGAAACUGUUUGAACUUGCCCGAGCCUUCUCAGAGAAGACCAAAAUGAGGAAGUCAAAGAGGAAACACUUGUUGAAGCAUCAGUCGCUGGGGGCUGCCGCGUCAACAGCCAACCUCCUGGAUGAUGUGGAGGGCCACGCGUGUGGUGAGGCUGGAGGGGAGUCGUAAGCUCCAACUUCUCUAUGAUCGGUGAUCUCCCAGCGGAGUUCCUGGGUGUUUCAUGGGAGCACCCGCCCUGUCCCCUGGAGGAACACACUGAGGGUUGGUGGGCAGGUGACCCAAAGAAAUGGAUCCCCCUGACUUGGUCGACAUUGCCUCCCCCUUCCUGCAACCCCUGAAAGGGGGCCCUAGCCCUACUUCCACCUAGAUGUGUACCUGUAGCAUGAAGUGCCAGGUACUGUUUCUGGGGAAUAUUCUUUUGGGUGUGAGGUGGCAGACAGGCCUGCCCCCAUGGGGGACCCUCGGCCUGAGAACCAAGCACUGGGCAGCUUCAGUCUGUGGGCCCAGAGGCUUCUCAACUUUCACCCAGUCCCUUCCAAAGGCCACGUGGGUCAGAAGACUCUGCCUCAGACCCUCCUGGGCCCGCAGCUGAACCCUGAUCCUCAUGCCGCAUUCGAGGGUCAGGAGGCAUCCAGAAACAAGGACUGGAAGGGCCUCAGAGGUCAUCUAGAUAGUCCAGCUUUUCCAUCCCAUUUUAUAGAUGAGGAAAUUGAGGCCCAAAGACGAGGGGAGAACUUGUCCAAGGUCUCAGAGCUCAGUGGUGGACCCUGGCCAGCACCUGAGUGUCCUGCUGCCUCUCUCCCUGGACCCAUGCAUCGUCUACCUGGGGGGAUCUGCAUGGGCCCCAAAUGAAGGGGGCAGAGAGAGUCGGGUCAGCUCUCUUGCCCAGUCUGGGGGCCGUGCCUGAGCGAGGCCCUGCAGGGUAGAGGAUGAGGCAGCUUCCCUCUCCUUUUCAGAUGAAGACUUCCGGGGCAGGCGUCAGGAGGCACCCAAGGUGGAGGAAGGCCUGCGAGAAGGACAGUAAGAGAUGCCAGCAGCUCUUCCUUGCCAGAGAUGAUCUGACCCGGUGGGGGCAGCUGGAAAGCAACACUGGCCCCCAGCUGAAGGGCCCAGCUGCAGCCAGACAGAUGGUGCUUGAGAACCGAGGCCCAGUGAUCCUCCAGCCACAGUCCAGCCCAACCACUGCCACUUUCCAUGGGACUUAGAACUUCGGAGUUGCUGCCUUGCAAUUGGAGGAAGGACCUGGGGCCCCUAUAGGCAGCAGCCAAUUACAGCCCCUUUUGUAGCCAGGCGUUCCUAUGGUCAAAGAGUGGAAAUGCAGGAACCAACCUCCCUUUAAAAAAAAAAAAAAUCCAGAAAGCAGAUAAAAGUUGGAAUAUGGAAAAGGGCAAGAUGACCCCACCAGAGGCUCUUUGGCCUGAAGGUGGAGUCUCUGCCUCCCUCCGUUCUCUAUCUCUCCUGUCACAGACUCUGCCUGACCCCCCUUCCUCAGCUCCCUUCUGGUCCCCCUUCCUCAGCUCCCUCCGGGCACUUGUGCCCCUCCCUUCGAUGGCCUCCUGUAUCUCAGCCUUCCCCCCGGGGCUGCUGGCCCAGCACAUGAGCCCUGCACCCAGCCUGGGUGGGAGGUCCCUGGCCAGUCCCCCAGGAACUCUGAGGAGCUAUGGGCUACUGCACAGCAUCUGCCAACUGCCCUGCCCCGUCUGGCCUCAUCAGGCUGCUGCUGUUAGGGAUGGGCUCACUCCCAGCAGUUCCCCAUCACCCAGCGGGGAUGGGGAGGGUGGCCACCCUGGAGCUGGAGGACUCUGGGGAGGCAGGGUCUUUAAUUUGGCAGCAGACAAAAGCCAGUUCUGGAGUCACACCACAGUAGGGGCUCACAGGGGCUCUGACUCCCCAGCUGGACUGGAAGCCCUGCUGUCCGAGGGUGGGCAGCGGUGGGUCCUGGAGUGACCCCUUUGAGCAGGUACAUGGCUAAAGAGCAAGGCGGAAAGGCCGCCAGCCUGGGUGGGAGCGCCUAGGGCAGAAGGGCUUGCUGGGUGCCCUGAGAAGGGCGGGUGAUCUGAGGAGGAGAACUCUGAUUCUAGGAACGCUUACACGGCACUGACCACUGCCACGGGGAGGGAGGCUGCCCAGCCCGUGGCCCCGCCCUGGACAUGGGAGGGCGCAGACCUUCCGGAGAGCCGGGAAGCCUGGGCAGGCACGAGGCUUCGGCGCGGCUUUGGGAGGUUGGGAGUGGCAUCCGAUCCUUGGCCGGGCCCUGGUGGCCUCCGUGGCCCCAAGAUCACAAGGGCGUAGCGAAGGCGAGCCGGCGAUCGCACCUCGUCCCGCCCACCCUGCCCGGACUCGCAACGCCGAGCUGGGGGAGGGCCGGGACGCGCAGCCGCCGCCGAGCGUGACCAAGUUUGGAAACGCGCGCGGGGCCAGGACGCUGGCUCGGGGGGCCCUGCCGAGGAGCGGCCGCCCCCUCCGCUGCUCCCCGCGCCAGGCCUGGGGCCCUGGAGGCGGGGGGGGGGUCUCCGAGGAGUGCCUCGGUCCCCCAGCUCGAGUUCCCGACGGGUCUCUGAGCCUUCCCCGCGCCAGGACUCGGCGCACUGUGGGGGAAGCCCCAGCCCCACGUCUGUUGAGUGUUGCUUUGUAUUUUUUUUCCUCCUAUGUGUGGGUUUUUUCUUGGAGCUGUUUCAUAGGAAUUCCUGUAAUAAAGAGUUGGUGUUC